UUGAACAUGCAUUGGCUGCAAAUAGUAGCCUCCUCAGUAGUGUAUGCAGCCUGUUGCUUGUAUAGGUUGCUCUAAGGGACCUUGGAGACAUUC
ensembl:snoRNA SNORA70 Small nucleolar RNA SNORA70